UCAUUGUCAUAGAAGUUAGCUUGAUAUCCGUGUGUGGGGGUUACACGCACGUGUGGAUUCCAUACCAAUCCACCCACACCUGCCCAAAGGAAACUGAAUUUUAUCCAGGUAUGCAUCUUUUGAAGAAUGCAUUUGAUAUGAGUGUCUGUCACAGAAGGAAAGACGCUGGGCUAUAGUAGCUGCACACAGGAGCUGUAUUUUCACAGCCUAUCAGGACCAUGCAAUUUGUAAUUCAGAAAUAAUCCAGCUUGUUUAAAUUUUUUCACCAUAGUUUAGGGGAGAAAGCAGGAAAGAAGAAUUAGAAUUCUGGCACUAGAGAAACAAUUGCCAAUAACCAAAGUUCCAUCUAUGAUUUUCAGGACUGUUGGAAGAACAUGGGGGAAGAAAGAAGAUGAGGGCAUGGGGGGAGGCUAUCUGUAGCACCUGUACUGUAUUGGCUAAGUAGACGCUGGCAAGAAACAUAUCAUAUGAAUAUUGCGUCUUAAAUCAUUUGUCUUCUGAGAAUCCUACUUAUCUAGCCCAAAACUUUAAAUUCCCUACUAUAAAGGGUACCUGUAAUCUUGUUCUUCUGUCUUGAUACAAAGUGGAUAGAGGUGUGUCUUCUAAGUAACAAUAUAGCUCAACCAACAAAUUGUUUUAUUAGUCUAGCUUCUACUUGCCUUUGAAUAACACUUGUCAUUGUUUCUCAUUCUUUGCUGAAAAACAUUCAUAGAAUUCUUAAUUUUAUUACUAAAAGUACAUUGCCAUUGUCAUCUUAAAGGCUGUUUGUCAUAUCUGUUAGAGGACUAGCUCAUGUCAAGUCUUCACGUCUUCAGAAUUAAGUUCUCGUUUUGCUUGCCCUUGUUAAUAAAAAAGCAAUUCUGAUUCCUUGGUGAACUAACAGAAGUGUUGUUGCAGGGAUAAGGGAGAAUAAUUAUUCCCUUUUUCUUGAUGCUGAUGAGGCUUCAGGUAGAAAAAUGCUGAACCAACCUUUAAGACAGAUGCAAACAAGCUGAAGUGAAUCUGAGGAAGUCUAACGAGAACAUAUUAAGAAAACAGACUGACCUAUGACAGAGGCUGUGAGAGAAAAGGGUCCGUUCAGUCAAGAAACUAAAAGGCUAGGAGUGUGAGAAGGAACACAAAUCUUCCUUGUCUCUUGGAUGUUUCAUUCCUACUUCAGGUUCAGCAAAAUUGAAUUGCUUUUCAUCUAAAUAUCUUUCCCUUCCCCCUGUCUUCCACUCACUGGUGACUUCAGUGUUCUCCUAGUCAUUCAGGUUUGUGCACUUAACAACUUUAACUCUCCCCUGCCAUUUUCUUUCAACUACUGUGUUACUUACUCCCUUUAUUUUGUUUCUUCCCUCCCCACCAAAUCUGUGCUAUGUCAAAUUUCUCAUUUGUUGCAAUGUAAAUCUACCUCUGCCUCAACUUCCUCUCUGUCUGCUAAGGUAAUUGUAUUACUUUUGCAGUAUUCCUAACCCCACCCCUCUGGAAAAAUUUCGAACCUCUCACCCUUGGCUUUUCCAAUUCAGCAGAAUUACCCCCACUUGUACCUCUCUCGUAUUUCUUUCCUACUUCUUUUGUGCUUGGAACUAACCUUUCUCUUUCCUCCGUAUCUCCUUCUAUUUCUGUUGGAUUCCUCCAGAAAGUACUUUCCUCAUAUAUGUUUCCUUUUUUAUUGUCGUAUUCCUGGAGUCCUGCUGGCCCAUACCAUGAGCUGCCAGCUCCACUCCUACUGUGUUUUUGCAGUAUCUGCGUGGUGAAUUUUAAAGCAAUGCACAUUCUGUUCUUACUCUUAAGAUAAUAUACUGUGCAUGGUUAGGGUGUGAGAUUCCUCAUUGCCUGGCACUUUCUGCCCUGCCUUUGUUAAUCCCUAGCAGUCUGUCAGACUUAGUAUGAGAGUGGUACAGAAAAGAGAAGGAAAAAAAUAAACAAAUUAUUCUGAUAAUGCUGCAGGGA